UACCAGCACCCCGAGUGGUCGGGACGUUUAUUGGGCCUAAAGCAUCCGUAGCCGGUUCUACGAGUCUUCCGUUAAAUCCAACUGCUUAACAGGUGGGCUGCGGAAGAUACUAUAGAGCUGGGAGGCGGGAGAGGCAAGCGGUACUCGAUGGGUAGGGGUAAAAUCCGUUGAUCCAUUGAAGACCACCAGUGGCGAAGGCGGCUUGCCAGAACGCGCUCGACGGUGAGGGAUGAAAGCUGGGGGAGCAAACGGG
rnacentral:rRNA from 1 species